rfam:Tupaia chinensis contig25237, whole genome shotgun sequence.
GCUUUCUUUAUAAAAAUAUGGCACAUAUACUAAAAUUGUAAUGACACAGAGAAGAUUAGCAUGGCCCGUGUGCAAGGAUGACACGCAAAUUCACGAAGCAUUCCAUAUUUUU